UCUUCCCGACUCAGGGAUGGAACCCAGGUCUCCCGCAUUGCAGGCAUAUUCUUUACCAUCUGAGCCACCAGGGAAGCCCCACCAGAUCUCUCUGGGACUUGGGAAUUGAUGUGAUCUGUUUGCCUGGAUUCCACCUAGCCUCUUGCAGGCUCUUUUCUCUGUUGGGGGAAUCUGACCACAGAGCUUAUUAAUUCUCUUCUUUUCCCUCCUGUGUCAAUGAUUCUUUGCCCACCAUUCUACCUGCUGGAAAUCUCUAACGAACCGCUGGCCUCAUGAACUAAUGGAUUGUCCCCUUCUUGUAUCUCAGCUUCAAACCCAUCCCCCAGCAACCCGCUUUCCUGGGGAGUUGGUCUCUUGUUAACGCUGCCGAUAGGUGGUGCUAGAGAGAGAGAGAAUGAAUUCCCAAGGAGGGAAGGGAGCUUCUGGCUUCCCCUCUUCAAAGCUGCUCUGACAAAACCUUCUGCUCUGAGAGGAGAGCCAAUCGGCCCUGGCCAUGCCCCUGCCCCAGGGACCUGAGCAUCUUUGUUUCAGCAGCCUUCAGCUUCUUCCUUUGGCUGCAUUCAGCUCAGGUGUGGAAGCUGCCUCGCCCGCUGAGUGAUCGAUUUCUCUUAAAAAUUCCAUCCUUUGAAAUUCCUCGUGUGAGCUCUGAUUUCCUGACUGGAUCCUGACAAGUAAAAUUAGUUGAAAGUCCCCUCUUUCCCCCAAAUCUCAUUCCUUUAGCAGAUGCCUCAUCAGCACUUCAAAAGACUCUAUAUUUUAAGGAAAGUUUUCUUAUCUACGGUGACUGAAAGAGAAAUUAAUAAACUGCCAUCAAAGAAAAGCAAGAUCUAUCUUUCGUACCCUUCGAACUCAAAACCCAUGCUCUUCUGUCCCAUUGUGAGAUGUCGAGGCAAAAGUGAUGACCAGCCGGGCAGAGAACACAGCGGGGGCAGAGGCCAGAAGUGAGGCGGCCCCAGCCCGUCUGCUUCUGCGAGCGCAGGCUCCACAGCCCGAGGUAACCGGAACUGUCCAGUGCACACGAAACAGCCAUUCUGCCUGUAGUAGCCAAACCAAUGAGCACCGUCUUUCCGUCUUUAAGAUGAG
rnacentral:lncRNA from 1 species